CAGGCUGCAACUCGCCUGCAUGAAGUCGGAAUUGCUAGUAAUCGCAGAUCAGCAUGCUGUGGUGAAUACGUUCCCGGGCCUUGUACACACCGCCCGUCACACCAUGGGAGUCGGUAACACCCAAAGUUGGUAGUCUAACCGCAAGGAGGACGCCGCCUAAGGUGGGAUUGAUGACUGGGGUGAAGUCGUAACAAGGUAUC
rnacentral:rRNA from 1 species